rnacentral:pre_miRNA from 1 species
UCUUCAUUUCCCACACUCCCUUACCGGUCAUAGAGGCUAGAGAGUGUGUGAAAUGAAGAGA